CAAGGCUUGACAUAUACAGGAAUAUGGCAGAGAUGUCAUAGCCGCAAGGUCUGUAUACAGGUGGUGCAUGGUUGUCGUCAGCUCGUGUCGUGAGAUGUUGGGUUAAGUCCCGCAACGAGCGCAACCCUCGUUCUGUGUUGCCAGCAUUUAGUUGGGGACUCACAGGAGACUGCCGGGGUUAACUCGGAGGAAGGUGGGGAUGACGUCAAAUCAUCAUGCCCCUUAUGUCUUGGGCUGCACGCAUGCUACAAUGGCUGGUACAAACGGCUGCAAUACCGCAAGGUGGAGCGAAUCCGAGAAAGCCAGUCUCAGUUCGGAUUGGGGUCUGCAACUCGACCCCAUGAAGUCGGAGUUGCUAGUAAUCGUAGAUCAGCAACGCUACGGUGAAUACGUUCCC
rnacentral:rRNA from 1 species